AUUGAACGCUGGCGGCAUGCCUUACACAUGCAAGUCGAACGGCAGCACGGGGGCAACCCUGGUGGCGAGUGGCGAACGGGUGAGUAAUACAUCGGAACGUGUCCUGUAGUGGGGGAUAGCCCGGCGAAAGCCGGAUUAAUACCGCAUACGCUCUACGGAGGAAAGGGGGGGAUCUUAGGACCUCCCGCUACAGGGGCGGCCGAUGGCAGAUUAGCUAGUUGGUGGGGUAAAGGCCUACCAAGGCGACGAUCUGUAGCUGGUCUGAGAGGACGACCAGCCACACUGGGACAGAGACACGGCGCAGACUCCUACGGGAGGCAGCAGUGGGGAAUUUUGGACAAUGGGGGCAACCCUGAUCCAGCAAUGCCGCGUGUGUGAAGAAGGCCUUCGGGUUGUAAAGCACUUUUGUCCGGAAAGAAAACGCCGUGGUUAAUACCCGUGGCGGAUGACGGUACCGGAAGAAUAAGCACCGGCUAACUACGUG
rnacentral:rRNA from 1 species